CUGGCAGUUGUCUUUUUAUUAAAGGACCAUAGUUGGGACACUGAAUACUCACAGCCAGCUUGGGGAAGGGGUGGCUGGCCUUCGUGUUGCAGCUCUAAUACAGACAGAUGGUACAUAACCAGAGAGCCACCUGAUGCUGGUUCCCAUGACAAAGCGAGAAAUGCAACUUCGGCUGAUGUCUGUAGGAAAGCACUUGAGAGGGCAUCCUGUAGGAUGAGUUUGGGGCGUGUCUCUGAGCUCUGUUUGUUAGUUUGUUUAUGUGCUUGCUUGCUUGUAUUGAUCAUUAGAAUUCAACCUCGAGUCCUAAAUGCUUACUUUUUAAUAUAAUUUUUUAUGUGCAUUGGUGUUUUGCCUCCACACAUGUCUGUGGGAGGGCGGAGGAUCCCUGGAACUAGAGA
rnacentral:lncRNA from 1 species